rnacentral:rRNA from 1 species
CAGUCGCCGCGGUAAUACGUAGGUGGCAAGCGUUGUCCGGAAUUAUUGGGCGUAAAGGGCUAGCAGGCGGUUUCUUAAGUCUGAUGUGAAAGCCCCCGGCUCAACCGGGGAGGGUCAUUGGAAACUGGGAAACUUGAGUGCAGAAGAGGAGAGUGGAAUUCCACGUGUAGCGGUGAAAUGCGUAGAGAUGUGGAGGAACACCAGUGGCGAAGGCGACUCUCUGGUCUGUAACUGACGCUGAGGAGCGAAAGCGUGGGGAGCGAACAGGAUUAGAUACCCGGGUAGUCCCUGUCUCUUAUAC